AACGAACGCUGGCGGCAGGCUUAACACAUGCAAGUCGAGCGCCCCGCAAGGGGAGCGGCAGACGGGUGAGUAACGCGUGGGAAUCUACCCAUCUCUACGGAAUAACGCAUGGAAACGUGUGCUAAUACCGUAUACGUCCUUCGGGAGAAAGAUUUAUCGGAGAUGGAUGAGCCCGCGUUGGAUUAGCUAGUUGGUGGGGUAAAGGCCUACCAAGGCGACGAUCCAUAGCUGGUCUGAGAGGAUGAUCAGCCACACUGGGACUGAGACAUGGCCCAGACUCCUACGGGAGGCAGCAGUGGGGAAUAUUGGACAAUGGGCGCAAGCCUGAUCCAGCCAUGCCGCGUGAGUGAUGAAGGCCCUAGGGUUGUAAUGCUCUUUCACCGGUGAAGAUAAUGACGGUAACCGGAGAAGAAGCCCCGGCUAACUUCGUGCCAGCAGCCGCCGUAAGAC
rnacentral:rRNA from 1 species